CCUACGGGUGGCAGCAGUGAGGAAUAUUGGUCAAUGGACGCUAGCCUGAACCAGCCAAGUCGCGUGAAGGAUGACUGCCCUAUGGGUUGUAAACUUCUUUUAUAUGGGGAUAAAGUGCAGUAUGUGUACCGCUUUGCAUGUACCUUAUGAAUAAGGAUCGGCUAACUCCGUGCCAGCAGCCGCGGUAAUACGGAGGAUGCGAGCGUUAAUCGGAAUUAUUGGGGGUAAAGGGUGCGUAGGCGGUUUGUCAAGUCAGGCGUGAAAUCCCGGCGCUCAACGUGGGAACUGCCUUUGAAACUGGCAAACUGGAGGAUGUGAGCGGAUAGUGGAAGUCCAGGUGUAGGAGUGAAAUCCGUAGAUAUC
rnacentral:rRNA from 1 species